CCUGCCCCUAGAAACCUUGCAGGUGUGGCUGCUGUGUCAAUUGUGCAUCAGUAGGUGGUAGAGAGGAGAGAGGCUAUGUCUAAGCUCAGUGUUCUGCCCAAUGAACAUCUGAAUGAUUAAUGGUCUAAUAUU